rnacentral:rRNA from 1 species
GUGAGGAAUUUUCCGCAAUGGGCGAAAGCCUGACGGAGCAAUGCCGCGUGAAGGAUGAAGGCCUAUGGGUUGUAAACUUCUUUUCUCAGAAAAGAAUUAUGACGGUAUCUGAGGAAUAAGCAUCGGCUAACUCUGUGCCAGCAGCCGCGGUAAGACAGAGGAUGCAAGCGUUAUCCGGAAUGAUUGGGCGUAAAGCGUCUGUAGGUUGUUUAAAAAGUAUUCUGUCAAAGAUUAGGGCUUAACCCUAGAUAGGCAGAAUAAACUUUUAAGCUAGAGUUUGGUAGAGGCAGAGGGAAUUCCCGGUGGAGCGGUGAAAUGCGUAGAUAUCCGAAAGAACACCAGUGGCGAAGGCGACGAUCUGGGCCUGAACUGACGCUGAGGAGCGAAAGCUAGGGGAGCAAACGGGAUUAGAUACCCUGGUAGUCC